rnacentral:rRNA from 1 species
GAUGAACGCUGACGGCGUGCCUAAUACAUGCAAGUCGAGCGAAUGGAUUAAGAGCUUGCUCUUAUGAAGUUAGCGGCGGACGGGUGAGUAACACGUGGGUAACCUGCCCAUAAGACUGGGAUAACUCCGGGAAACCGGGGCUAAUACCGGAUAACAUUUUGAACCGCAUGGUUCGAAAUUGAAAGGCGGCUUCGGCUGUCACUUAUGGAUGGACCCGGGUCGCAUUAGCUAGUUGGUGAGGUAACGGCUCACCAAGGCAACGAUGCGUAGCCGACCUGGGAGGGUGAUCGGCCACACUGGGACUGAGACACGGCCCCGACUCCUACGGGAGGCAGCAGUAGGGAAUCUUCCGCAAUGGACGAAAGUCUGACGGAGCAACGCCGCGUGGGUGAUGAAGGCUUUCGGGUCGUAAAACUCUGUUGUUAGGGAAGAACGAGUGCUAGUUGAAUAAGCUGGCACCUUGACGGUACCUAACCAGAAAGCCACGGCUAACUACGUGCCAGCCGCCGCAGUAA